AUAUGGGAAAGUGUUGGAUGUCAUAACAUUUUUAUUGCUUCUAGACUUGCACAGAUCUAGAGAAGCUAAGGCCACAUCGUCUGAAAGAUCAGAUGGAUGGGAAGGCUGUGCCUGAGGUUGAGUGUGUUAAAAUGUUCAGCAAUCAGCAGUGCUGCCUGCUCGUUCCCAGCAUAGAUGACACCUUGUAAAUCGAGACUGCUGAAUCUUUCUAUCACCACCAACUCUGCAGAGCCCAUGUGGACAUGGACAGAAUAAUUUAGAGGACAGCAGAUAGAUUAGAAGCAGGGCUGUUCACAGCGACUCUGGAUCACCCUUUUGUAAGGUAACCACAGUCGUAUUUUCAGCUGCACGCAGAAUUCUCCAGUGAACGCUGAGUAUUAAAAUUCAUUCAGAUCUGUUGGGGCACUGAAGAAGCUUUCUUGAACGAGACAUUAGGAACUAUUGUGUUUUCACAUAAAUCUGGAGGAUCAGGAAACGGCAAUCAUAUUUGACAGCUUCGGAUAAAUCUUCUGUUCUUGGAGACAAAGCCUUCACUCAUAAAGAAAUGCCGUUCUUCUAAUGGUAACCUCAGAUCAGCCUGCCUCAAUGCCUCUUUUCUCUGCAGUGAUAGUGCUCUUCCACCAGCACAGAAGCUCAAAUGGACUAGGACACAAGAGCAAGAAGAAGAUAAGAAAGAAAACCAGAGUGAUGUUGAAUCUCUCUGAGCUCAGCGCAGACCAUGCCUGCACAAAGCCAUGGAUGCCACUCAGAAAGACCUUAUGACUUCACCAAGAGGCUAAGAUGGUCUUUUUCAGGUUCAUAUUGCACUAUGCAUACUCAAACCCAGAAUACUUGUCUCUGGUCUACAUUCUACUUCCAAUCUAAAAUUUUCCCCUGUGCUUUGGUCUAUCUAACUCCCUUCGCCAACCUCAUACUGUGAGUUUCUAGAGACUAUCUUCUUUUGAUGUUCACCCUUUGCUUCUUAAAUGUGCUAUGUAAUAAUUUGAGGAACUAUUUUGAUGCAAUAGAUGUAGAGAUAAAAUAGAGUUUGUGGAUAGAGAAACUAUUGUUUUAUAAAUAUUUAUUUAUAUAACUAGGACAAGGAAAUACCUGUGGCAUCAACAUGGCAUUUCAAGACCUUUCUCUCAGCUCUCCAUUCAUUGUCUAACCCCAAAUACACUAAAGUAAUCCCUAACCUACAUCACUCCUCACACUUCACACCCAUGCUUCACUUCAGGAUCUCAACUUAUGCUCCUACUUGCCACGGAGAGGAGUUCAGAUAACUGUGUGAAGGAAAUGGGCAGUUUUGAACAGUGAUGAUGAUGAUGAUGAUGAUGAUUUAGAGCAAAGAAAACCAAGCUCUUCUUUGUGAUGUUUACAAUCCCUUUAGAAAACCACACAACAGUAAUGGGUAAAGUUGAGGGCACAAAUAUAUUCUAUAUAUUUAUGCAGGUGUUUUACUGAGAGGACAAUGGCAUUCAGUGGUUGAAAAAGAUAUAGAAUGCUGUCAAAAAUCAAGUGAUGGGUCAUGUGAUGCCAGACAAUGCUCUUGGAAGGGAUAACUAUGAGAUUGGAAGGCUUUUGAACAUUUUAUUCUGUUCUUGAAGGAAGUUAGAAUUUUCCAAAUCCCCGGGUCUUAAUGCUGUGGUUCUCCAAUAUGGAGAUGGAAUUCAAGAUAGCAACUUGACUGCAUCCAGAAAACAUCUCUGUGCUUCCUUCUUGUGGCCCAUGGUGACACAAAAAAUGUAGAUAUCCAGAUUAAAUUCUCCUCUGAACAAUAGAGAGUGGUCAGUGUGUCUCCUGUUGUUAUCGCAAAGGUAUCUUAAAAUUAACAGGCCUAAAUUUGAUUUUCAUUUACUUCUUUACUGGAGUCUGUUUUCAUUAAUAAGACAGAUUCCUUUUAUUCUCAGAGCAUAAUCAUCCCACCUACAUGCAAAAUCAGUGACAGGAUUCCUCUAAUUCCUUCACCACCCACGCUCCAUUCAGCAGUCUUAUUAGCACAUCCUCAUCAAUGCAUCCUAUUGCUGUACAGUCUGUUCUUCACUACAUUUUCUACCUACAGUUGUCUCACUUUCCUCUUUACAUAUUGAUUAUCUAUCUUUCCAUAAAAACAUAACUAACACAGGAGCAGAAAUUUUGUGUUUUUUACCACCAUGUCUAAAAUUUGGUGCUGAGUAAAUACCUAAUGAAUGCAUAAAAAUCCACAUCAACUUUAAUUUUUGAAUUGCUUAAAUAAACUGUUUAAUUUUCUGAAUAUUAGCAAAAUACAUACUUUUUAGUUCGCUAUGCCAAUACUGAACACUAUUGAUUCAAACAAAGAGUAUUCAGCGAAACUAAUGAAUUAGCAAUCAUCAGUUUAUAAGGGGAAAACCUUUCUAGGCAACUUUUCCUAAAAAUCAUCAAUAUCUUUAAUCUUUUGUAAGACAUUGCAUGGGUUUUCCACUUGAUUCAAACUAAAGUGAGUAACAAGAAAAAUAUGUUUUCUUUGUUAGUCUUACCUAAGUAAAACCUAUUAAUGUGUUUUCAAAAGACAUGAGAACUAUAUGAAAAAUUAAUAGGAAACACUUAUAAAUCAGGAUUCGUUACUAAGCAGACAUGAUUUAACUGAAAGUUAUAUCAAAAUUCAUAUUUAAAUAGUUGUGUGUCCAAUAUCAAUCCAAACCUACACAUAUAUCUCAAAAAUUUAGCUGGAGAACACUCAAAUAUAUAGCAAGUUAUAUAUAUAUAUAUAUAUUAUAUCAGUUAAACCCAUUCCAAUAGAAUAAGCAAUAGUGAAAAGCCACAAGCUCUGAAUGCUAGCAAAUUAUCUUGCUAGCAUAGCAUAGCAAAUACUAGCAUAAUCUAUCUUGCUGGGCAUACAAAAAAUACAAUUAAACAUGUGACUUGUGUUUACUGAGGAACUACUGCAUUCCAGGCACUCAAUUCAAAGCACUUUCAGCUUUCUUUUUGUUGUUGUUGUUUUUUUUUUUUUUUUGAUACUGACAAUCAGACUCAUCACACCAAUAACAAAAUGCAUACAUUCUGGCUCACACUUGCCAGCAGGUGCUGUGCAGCUGAGCUAUAUCCUUCGUCCUCAGUUCAAAGCAUUCUACAUGUAUUAAUUUAUUUAACUAUCAAACAACCAUAUGACAGAGUAACUGCAUAAAAACAAUCUAUAACCUCAAACAAAGAGGACAAAGCAAUAAUCAUUUAUUAUUUAUUGUGUUAUUGAAAUACUGAGCAAUUUCUUUCUGAUUUUUUCCUGCGAUCACAAAUGCAACUUCAUGAAGCUAUAGUGUUAGGUGAACCAGAAAGCCCAAGAUAUCUUUUUCAAAUAUCUGACACUUUACUUCUCUUGGUACAAACCUGGGACUGUUCACAACAUGUUCCUUUAAGGUAAAAGCAGAAUGUACAAGACCAUUCGCAUAAUAUCAUUGAUAGUACAUGUAAUUUUUGUAAAGAGUCACAGGCCAGGUGCAGAUCCAAAGACAGUAUGUCUCUGUAUGACAAAACUGCUAAGUUAUAAUGAAAAAGUGUGUAUAUAUAUAUAUAUAUAUAUAUAUAUAUAUGAUAAUAGAAUUUUUGGUCAUUAGGCAACUGAUUAAAUAUCAUGCACCACACAUGGAAAGUCUAACAUAUAGAGAGGUAUGGUACUGGGCAAUGUCACAACAAGAAAGAAGUAGAGUUAAGAUCUGAACACGAAUCUCUGGCUGUGAAAACAGUCUCUUCAAAUCAAUUUGGGAUACAGUCAUAGCAGCUAACAUGGAGAACUCCCAAGCACAGACCACUUUCAUUCUCUGCCUCUGCAUUUCAUGUUAAUAUAGUAAUGGUUAGAAGACUAAGAUAUUGUCCACUUGAAGAUAACAUACGUUUGCAUUUUCAUGUAGAAAUGAUGCGUGUGCAUGGUGUAUACAUACAUAUGACUGGGUAAUGUAUAUGUGUGUAAACUGCUGGGUGGAACUUAGUGUGGCUACUUUCUGGGAAAUAAUUGUAUAGUCCAUUUUGUGAUUGUGCAAAGUCUGCUUAGACUACACUUCAGGGUUUAUGGCAAUCACUAGACUUGAUCUCUUGAAGGAAUCAAAAGAUGACGUAAAUGAGGAUAAGAUGGACAAGGCUGCUGAUAGUUUAAAGCAGCAUACCGUUUUAUAGUGAACUUGUUCAUUCAGUAGAAGUAUGCUUUGGAAUAAUGAUAAAAAUAUAGUCUAGGAAUACAUAAAUCAGUGACAUAUCAUUUAUUGCCAAGUAUUAUGUACUGUAAUCUUAUGAAUAUGGUAUACAUUCACAAUACUGCAUGGCUCUAGAUUUGUUUAUGCUAACAUUGUCACAAACACGUAAACAAUGUGUUAUGGUGUAAUACUAACAAAAUGUAUACUUUCCGGCUUAUCAUGCCACUAUAGAACGUUACCUGUUACAAUGUCAUUAAAUGAAAAGCGUACUUAAGCCCUAUGAUAAUCUUAGAAGAUCAGAGUUGUAUAUAACAUAGUCAAUCGUGGAAUGAAAUGUCAUUACGUGGUCUAUUUUCAAAGUAAAUCUGCUCCUGCAUCUAUCUAUGUUUAAGUAAAUUUAAUCCUUGUGGGCUUGUUUCUGCAAGGUGAGAUCAGUGACACCUAACUGGAGUGUCAAGAUGAGAAUUUAAUUAGAAAUGAAAGUAAUUAGUUGAUUUAAAAUGUUGUGAUUUUUUGUUUGUAUUUCUCAUAUCUCUAAAACCUAAGAAGUAAGUACUCAAAGUUAUAGCAAUCAAAACUUUUUGAAGAAUUACAAGCUGAUGGAAUUUUUAGUGUUGCGUUAUAAUGCCUAUAUUGAAAUAAAAUUUGUUUCUGCCUAGUUGUCACAAAACAAACACUAGAUUUA